AAAAAUACUAAUAUUUAUAUUAGUUAAGAUUAAGAUAUGUGGGCCAUGUGCCCACUUCGAUAUUAAAUUUAUUUUUUGUGGGGGAGGGCUCACCCACAGUGGCUUGCCACUGGGGCCCUCGCGUGUUGCCCAGGCGUUGCACUGCUGCCCGGGCCUGGCGCACCCCAA
rnacentral:snRNA from 1 species